CCACCAGCACUCCUCUUUCUCAUGAGAUGAGGAUGUCUGUAUUAUCUGAUGAGAAGGUAACAAUAAUAUUUUUAUUGAUAACCCUUUCUUGACAAAUACAUUCAUCCUACCCACAAGCAAACACUCGGACACAGUCAGGAAUAUUAAUUAUUUUUCCGGAGCUGUGGACUUUCAGCCAACUUGGCUGUGCAUGCGCUAUGAGUACAAUACUCGGUUC